rnacentral:rRNA from 1 species
UACGUAGGGGGCAAGCGUUGUCCGGAAUUAUUGGGCGUAAAGAGCGUGUAGGCGGUCCGGUAAGUCAGCUGUGAAAGUCAAGGGCUCAACCCUUGAAUGCCGGUUGAUACUGUCGGGCUAGAGUCCGGAAGAGGCGAGUGGAAUUCCCGGUGUAGCGGUGAAAUGCGCAGAUAUCAGGAGGAACACCAAUUGCGAAGGCAGCUCGCUGGGACGUUACUGACGCUGAGACGCGAAAGCGUGGGGAGCGAACAGG